UACGGAAGGGGGCUAGCGUUGCUCGGAAUCACUGGGCGUAAAGCGCACGUAGGCGGCUCUUUAAGUCGGAGGUGAAAUCCUGGAGCUCAACUCCAGAACUGCCCUCGAUACUGAAGAGCUCGAGUCCGGGAGAGGUGAGUGGAACUGCGAGUGUAGAGGUGAAAUUCGUAGAUAUUCGCAAGAACACCAGUGGCGAAGGCGGCUCACUGGCCCGGUACUGACGCUGAGGUGCGAAAGCGUGGGGAGCAAACAGG
rnacentral:rRNA from 1 species